AGGAUUAACGCUGGCGGCGUGCCUGACACAUGCAAGUCGAACGAGGCCGCAAGGCCGAGUGGCGGACGGGUGAGUAACACGUGACCAACCAACCUCGAAGUUGGGAAUAGCUCUGCGAAAGUAGGGGUAAUACCGAAUGUGGCCCAGGGCGGGCAUCCGCCUUGGUCUAAAGAUUCAUCGCUUCGAGACGGGGUCGCGGCCUAUUAGCUUGUUGGUGAGGUAACGGCUCACCAAGGCGAUGAUGGGUAGCUGGUCUGAGAGGACGACCAGCCACACUGGGACUGAGACACGGCCCAGACUCCUACGGGAGGCAGCAGUGAGGAAUCUUCCGCAAUGGGCGAAAGCCUGACGGAGCAACGCCGCGUGUGGGAUGAAGACUCUAGGGUUGUAAACCACUGUCGGAGGGGACGAUCGUGACGGUACCUCCAAGAAAGCCCCGGCUAACUACGUGCCAGCAGCCGC
rnacentral:rRNA from 1 species